AGUGCUGGCAUUACAGGUGUCAGCCACUGUGCCCAGUCAGAAAAGAGUUUUAAAAAAUAAAAUGAGAAAUUGUGUUCCUAAGGAUCUCAAAGAAGCAUAAAAGGAGUUUACAAUGAAAAGAAAAGCAUUUGAAUAAUUCCUAUCAACAAGGUUUCAUACUUACAGUGGGUUCAAUGUUGAGUUCUUUUCUCUCUCUGUCUCCUUGGUCAAAAAAUUCAGUUGCUACAAGUUCUGCUAUCUGAAAUGACAGGUUAAGUUCUGACAAUGAAAAGCGUAUCACUCUUUAAAACAGACUUUGAACGAAGGCCCUGCUAUGGGUUACGCAUUUUGAUUUUAUAGAUAAGGAAACUGAGGUCCAAAGAUGAAGUAACUUGCUUGAGAAUAACAGGAUAGCUAGUAAGUAGCAGCGGGAUCCUCGAGCACAAGCAGUCUGUGCCCAAAGCAUAUUCUCUUGACUAUUACGCUAUACUUUCCCCCACUUCUGUAAAUCUUUCUCUCCUUGGUAGCUUCCAGCAUUUUUCUGUUUUAUUUUUUUCUUCCUUUGUUUAUUUCCCCCCCGCAAACACCCGGUACGAGGGUUUCGUGUCGAAGAACGAAAGGAUAAAUGACAAGACAGAAUCCUCCUCUCCCAUCCCCCACAGCAUCCUACUUCCUAUGGAGCAGGAAGGAUUUUUUUCCAAGAGAAGUAAACAUUUUGCAGUCACAUCUUGCUCCCACAGUCUUCAGGACUGCAUUUCAGCUCUUCCAUUCUAAGGGAAAAUGAAGAGGGGAACCCUAUAGCCUUGUGUGAUACUCUACUACAUUUUAAAGGCUUUUCUAGAACGAAGGAACAAUUCAUUCUCUUGAGUUUGCAGAUGCAUUUCUUUUCAACGCCAGGUCCGUGGCCAGAAUGGCCUGCUUGAUCAUGCGCAGCGUGGCCUUGUACUCCUCGAUGGACAGCCCGCUGAGGAUCUGAUUGCCCUUGGUGGGAAGAGAAACCAUCAUUCGCGCUCUGCCCGCAGAAACGCCGGCAGCUGGAGAUACGGUGACACGGCUUAUGCCUCGCCCCAGCUCCAUGCCAAAUCCCCCCUGGCAGCUCCCUGCUUUGCCCCCACCCCCGUCUGGCAGGAAAAACCAGCUCCGUGACAUUACACCUGCCCACGCCUCAUGUUGUUCCAACUCCUCACUCCUUAGGCCUCAGCCCAGACCGAAAAUCUAACAGCUGUUUAUAUUUUCCCUUCGGGCAGAUUCACUGCUGUGAUCUAACAACAAGCAAAACUUUGAGACAUCAAAGCCAUCUUAGUGGAUGCAGAGAAUGGAGUCGUGAAAUACUUAAACAAUUGAUUAUGACAAAGUCGCUCCUUUAUGGCUUUUAAAACAAACCUAGUAACAUUUCUGGUACAAAUUUAUAUAAUUUUAACUUAGUCAAUUAUGGCAACAGUGUGUGUUCCUUAGGAAUAUCCUGACAUAGAUGGGUGGAGGGCGCUGGCCGGCGGUAAAGGAACACACAGGUUGAAAUAUCCGUAAGGAAUAUCUGAAAGGUGGUGAAUCCACGUGCAAACCAUUGAAAGUUCCACCACAGAACCAUUUUUUAUUUCUUGCCUCUAAUUUGAGCACAGUGGCUCUCUAAUCUUGAACUCGGCAUCUACUCAAAACAAUGCCUGUAGGUUGAGUCCCAUGUGCCCACUACGUCUUGGGGCCGAGAAAAACCCGGAGGCUCAGGAUCGGGACCUGGAGGAGUCAUGACGACAGGACUGCGGGGUGUGCCGGGCUGGGGCCAGAGCACAGUGGUCAGAGGAUAAUCAGAUGCUGAAGUUGCAGCAUGGAUCUAAUUAAUGUCCAAAAUCUGUAAUUACAGCCGUAAACAUUAUUUUUAAAUAUUAAAUCAUUUUAGAUUCUGGGCCAAACAGAAAACUAUCCAGAAAAUACCUUCUGAUUCUUAAACAGAAAACAAU